UGCCACAAUUGGCAGCAUCACUGGCUCUUAGCUACUGAAAACAUAACAGAGACGAGUCUCGCAACAAGAAAUCAAUGUGAUGGAUAAUAGGCAGGAAAAGCAGCCCCCAGAGAAUAAGGGAAGGCCCCAGUGAGUCUAAUUUUCAUUGACCCAGUUUCACUGUCAAAGCACAGAACAUAGCAAGACAGAGUGACCUCCAGAGUCAAAAAGCUUCAGACUACACUGCAAAUGAAGCCACCACGGACUGUCUCUCUCUUUCUCCACGAGCCCAUGGAUGUUAACCACCAGUGAGUGAGUGACAAAGAGAAUUCCCACCUUAGAAAGGAGCAGUUGAGUCCACAGUCAUUUAAGACAGGCAGUGAGUGACGGCUGCACUAGCAUCCUGAGGAGGAAAUUAAAGCAUUCGUCGAGGGCCUGACUCAGGAACGGGUGGAGGAAUGGAUUAUGGCAGCCACAGGAGACCAAGAGCAAGGGGAGUUGUGAAAAUGAAUAAAAUGGCUGAACUCCCCAUCUGGGUCAAGGCAAUGGGGAGCAUGGCAUGGUGUGAUGUAGAAGAAAGAUCCCCUGUGAGCCGGAGAAGACAUGGGCAGGAAAACCCAUACCAAAGCCUUCCAUAAAUCUCGAGGAAGAGUCGGAUCUUGCGUGCUGAUCGACACUGAUCUGCACAGCAGCAUGAAUAACACUGGCCUAGGGCAUACAAAUAAGUACAAAAUCGUUGCUCUCAGGGAGCUUACAAACUUUCUAUUAUACUAAUACACAUUGAAAUAUGUUCACGCCAUGACAAGGCAAACAUAAAAUCUACUUACAAGACAGAAAUGAUGAAUUGCAAAGUGAAUUCACAAAUAACACAAAUUAGGAGUUUAAGAAAGGAAGCCAUUUGGAGAAACCAGAAGAUUAGAAAUGAAAGAAAGAAAACUAGGUUUCAGGUCUGUGGAGGUGAGAGACCUUGAACUGAGUCUUGAAGGUUAAGAUCAAGUUACAUCUCACCACAAAAAGCAUAAGUAGGUGAGGUAAUGCAUACAUUAGUUAGCUCCAUUUAGCCAUGUCACAAUAUACACAUAUUUCAAAACAACAUGUUGCACACAAUAAAUAUGUACAA